rnacentral:rRNA from 1 species
UUCCCCUACGGGACGCAGCAGUGAGGAAUAUUGGUCAAUGGGCGGGAGCCUGAACCAGCCAAGUCGCGUGAGGGAAGACGGUCCUAUGGAUUGUAAACCUCUUUAGGCGGGGAGCAAUGCCGGGCACGCGUGUCCGGAGGGAGAGUACCCGCAGAAUAAGCAUCGGCUAACUCCGUGCCAGCAGCCGCGGUAAUACGGAGGAUGCGAGCGUUAUCCGGAUUGAUCGGGUUUAAAGGGUGCGUAGGCGGACUUUUAAGUCAGCGGCAAAAUGUCCGGGCUCAACCCGGGUCGGCCGUUG